CAGCCGCCGCGGUAAUACGUAGGUGGCAAGCGUUGUCCGGAUUUAUUGGGUUUAAAGGGUGCGUAGGCGGCCUAUUAAGUCAGUGCUGAAAUAUCCCGGCUUAACCGGGAGGGUGGCAUUGAUACUGAUGGGCUUGAGUAGAGUUGAGGUUGGCGGAAUUGACGGUGUAGCGGUGAAAUGCUUAGAUAUCGUCAAGAACACCUAUUGCGAAGGCAGCUAACUAAGCUCAAACUGACGCUGAGGCACGAUAGUGUGGGGAUCAAACAGGAUUAGAUACCCUGGUAGUCCACACUGUAAACGUUGAUUACUCGCUGUUUGCGAUACACUGCAAGCGGCUUAGCGAAAGCGAUAAGUAAUCCACCUGGGUAGUACGCCGGCAACGGUGAAACUCAAAGGAAUUGACGG
rnacentral:rRNA from 1 species